CGACUUUCUGGUCUGUAACUGACAAUGAGGCGAGGAAAGCGUGGGGAGCAAACAGGAUUAGAUCCCCUGGUAGUCCACGCCGUAAACGAUGAGUGCUAAGUGUUAGAGGGUUUCCGCCCUUUAGUGCUGCAGAUAACGCAUUAAGCACUCCGCCUGGGGAGUACGGUCGCAAGACUGAAACUCAAAGGAAUUGACGGGGGCCCGCACAAGCGGUGGAGCAUGUGGUUUAAUUAGAAGCAACGCGAAGAACCUUACCAGGUCUUGACAUCCUCUGACAACUCUAGAGAUAGAGCGUUCCCCUUCGGGGGACAGAGUGACAGGUGGUGCGUGGUUGUCGUCAGCUCGUGUCGUGAGAUGUUGGGUUAAGUCCCGCAACGAGCGCAACCCUUGAUUUUAGUUGCCAGCAUUUAGUUGGGCACUAUAAGGUGACUGCCGGUGACAAACCGGAGGAAGGUGGGGAAGACGUCAAAUCAUCAUGCCCCUUAUGACCUGGGCUACACACGUGCUACAAUGGAUGGUACGAAGGGCUGCGAGACCGCGAGGUCAAGCCAAUCCCAUAAAACCAUUCUCAGUUCGGAUUGUAGGCUACAACUCGCCUACAUGAAGCUGGAAUCGCUAGUAAUCGCGGAUCAGCAUGCCGCGGGGAAUACGUUCCCGGGCCUUGUACACACCGCCCGUCACACCAGGGGAGUUUGUAACCCCCGAAGUCGGUGGGGUAACCGUAAGGAGCUAGCCCGCCUAAAGGUUUAACAAGAGGAUGGU
rnacentral:rRNA from 1 species